AUUUUUUUUUUUUUUUUUUGUAGAGGGAGACAUUCAAUUUUGGUUCAAAACUGGACUGGUCAGUUCUAGUCCAGUUCAAGUCUGGUUUCAAUCCAUACGGAUCUGACCAGUUUCAGUUCUGGGUUGGCAUUUCAGUUCCUGAGCCGGAACUGUGGCAAGGUGUACUCUACCUUGUAGAUACCUUCGAGGCAAUGUAAUAAGAAUAGUGAAAAUGCUGUAGGCUUAAUUGGAGUGCGUAUCUUGUAUUCCAUAAUUUACUUGCUAUUGAAUAAGAGGAAAUUCUUCGUGGCUCUUUGAUAGGUUUCCAUGUAUUUGUGGCUAAUGUCAAGCAUCUUGUUUUUUUUUUUUUUCUU
rnacentral:misc_RNA from 1 species